AGCCGGUCUUCAAAAACCAUUGAAGGUCCCAGGUCCUGGAGGUCGCACUGCUGGGGUGUCGCCGGGUCGCCCCCUGGGCGUAGCGUCCGCUCUGAAAGUCUAGGCUUGGGGUCCCGGGCAGGAGAGGAUCGGAGGAAGAUCGGCCGUCGGUUCCCCGCAGCAAAAGCGACAAAUGACCCCUGGUAGACCAGUGAGGGGUGCCAGGGAGUCCCCCCUGCGCUUGUCCUCAGCACAAUAGGCUCCGAGCCUACCCCAUUUCCAGACAUGGUGUCAUUUCAGAAUCGGGGUCUGUCGAAGGAGGGGUGGCACGUGGUUGAGUGUCUUUGGAGACAGGGUCUUGGAUAUAUCAAAGUCAGGAGGCUGUCCCUAAUUGAGACCUACUCAUGGUCGUGGCCCUGUGUCUCCUGGAAGGAGCAAGGCUCAGAGGAGCAUCUGCCUGGGGCUGAUGCUGAAGAACUGUGCACUCAUGACUUCAGUGCUCACCGUUUUCCUCUGCUUUUCCGGUGUUGCCCUUGGAAGUUGCCACUGGUGCUGGGAUGAAGGCACUGCCACCUCCUAUUCCUAGCAGCUACAUGAGCAUCCUCACACAUUCUACCCUGGGGUCCUGGGUGGUCAAGAUUGGGGGUACAAGUCUAAAUCUUCACAGCAGAUGAUGUCCAGCUCAGUCACUUUGUACAAAACGUCAGGCCCUGCCUGUACUAACAUGGUCAAUUUUGGGUCUACUGUACUUUUCCUGGGCGGUCUCCUGGACGUUCAGUUUGUGAAGUUCAGUGUUGUGCUCAAUGUACAGCUUAUUCUUACCCUCUGGUGUUUGUCCCAGGGUGUAUUGGCCUCUGCUGGGCAGUAUUCUUAAAAAUCUGUCAUCCCCAAGGUCUGGCUGCUUCAACAUUCCACUACCAAAAUCAGCUGUGGCAGACAGGCCAAAAGGAGACCUGUCCCUGGUGACCAUCCCUCAAGGUGGGUUGAUCUCACAUCUGCUUCCUGGUCCAUGCCGUCUCAGAUCUUGAGUGGUCAAGCUUCCUGUUUGGGAUGGGAACCAGAAAGAAAGAAGGCUCUGAAACAGCUUCAGGCUGCAGGGCAGCCUACUCUACUACCCAGCUUGUGAUUCAGCAGAUUCAACAUUUGAAAUGUGUGCAGCAAAUGAGAAUACUGUAUGGAUUGCAGAAACUCAGGCCGCUGAGGCAGGAGGAUUGCAGGUUCAAAGCCAGCCUCAGCAAAUUUAGCCCUACCUAACUGGGUGAGAUCCUGUCUCUUAAAAAAAAAAAAAAAAAAAAAAUAGAAAAAAAGGGCUGGGGAUGUGAUUCAGUGGUAAAGCACCUCUGGGUUCAAUCCCCCGUACAAAAAUAAAUAAAUAAAUAUAUAAACAAACAAACAAACCAGUAUGGAGCCUCCAGCAAGUAGCAAAGCACAACAGGAUUUAGGAGCAAGUCUGUACCUUCUCUACCUUGGAGAGACUUUCUAGCUUGCUACUGCACCUUUAGUAGCAAAUGAAUGCCUAUGAGCCAUCAGGCAACCAUGUGGCCUUAAUGCCAUCAUGAGCUGAGUAUUGUCGGGCCCUUGUAGCCCUGAGUCAGCUGGGCACAUGCAACAAUCUGCUGUUUUGUGAAAAUGGUCUGUUAGAGAUCAAGCCUCAAGACUUGUGGAGGGCUCAGUGGCAGAGCAUUUGUCCAGCAUGGGCAGCUCCCUGGGUUCAAAUCCUGUACUGAGAAGAACAAAAAAAGACUUGACUGAGGAAGAAGAGAGGGUACAUUUAUAGCAGAAAGGGGCCAUAUCACUAACCAAGCCAGGGACAGAUCAAUGGGAUCCGCUGGGCACACUGAAAGCCCAGCCCCCAAACCUUACCCCAUAAAACCUGAGGUGACAGCUGCUGAGGCUGCUUUCAGGGGCACUCAAGGGGAGCCAAGGACUGCGUGUGCACAGCCCCAGCACCCACAGCACCAGCCAAGGGAGCAGCGAGUGGUCCGAUGUCGGGCUGCACUGGCCUUCCCAAGUUCCCAGGGGUGAGGCAGCGUGCUGAGGAGGGCAGGAGGGACGGACUCAGUGAGCUUAAGAGCUCAAGGCUCUCCAGCAUCACCCCGUGGCACAGGCCUCUGAGCACACUGUGAAGCCUCUCCUCCUCCUGGGAAAAAUGCGUGGCCACAUCCUCAAGUGUCACCAAACCCUGCAAUGGAUGGGUUCAGCCGAUCCUGGGGGCAGAAGUAUGGACAGAUAGACCCUGCCAGGCCCUUGACUGGGAAGGGUUCUGCCACACUUCCACUGCAUCAAACUUCCCCAGAGGCCCACAGCACAGUGCACAUAUCCUGAUUCCACCUUCCUUCAGACCUGUUUCAGUCACCUUUUCACUGCUGUGACCAGAAGACCUGACAAGAAGAAGUAGAGAAGGAAAAGUUAUUUGGGGGGUUUUCCUUCAUAGAUGGCUACUCCAUUGCUUUGGGCUUGAAGUGAGGAAGGACAUCAUGGCAGAGGGUGUGGCAGAGGAAAGCAGCUCAGGGUAGCCCGGAAGCAGAAAGCUCCAUUCCACAAAGACACAAUAUAGGCCCCAAAGGCUGCUCCCAGUGACCCACCUCCUCUAGCCACACCCUACAGUUACCCCUCAAGUGGAUUAAUGCACCAAUUAGGUCAAGGCUUUCAUAACCCAAUCACUUCACUUCUGAACCAUCUUGUAUUGUCUCACAGCUGAGCUUUGGGGGCCCCUCAUAUCUAAACCAUAACAGCCUCUACCUCCGAGGGUCUGGUUGCUUCUUACUUUACUAUUAGACACUGUGUCCAGUCUGCAGUAACAAUAGGCAGGUGACCAGCCUCCCAGCAGCUGGGGAGGCUGAAGCAGGAGGAUGGCAAGUUCAAAGCCAGCUUGCAGAACUUAGUGAGACCCUGUCUCAAAGUAAAAUAUAAAAAAGGGGGGCUGGGGUUGUAGCUCAGUGGUAGAGUGCUUGCCUAGCAUGUGCAAGGCGCUGGGUUCAAUCCUCAGCACCAUGUAAAAAUAAUUAAAUAUAAAUAAAAGUAUUGUGUCCAACCAUAUAUAUAUAUAUAUAUAUGUAUAUA